rnacentral:rRNA from 1 species
AAGCUCGUAGUUGAAUUUCGGGAUUAGUACGUUGGUCGUGCCUUAGGUACGUACUGGUGUUACUGGUUCCUACCUUCUGACGAACCAUCAUGUCAUUAAUUUGGUGUGGUGGGGAAUCAGGACUGUUACUUUGAAAAAAUUAGAGUGUUUAAAGCAGGCUCGCGCUUGAAUACAUUAGCAUGGGAUAAUGAAAUAGGACGUUGAUCCUAUUUUGUUGGUUUCUAGGAUUGACGUAAUGAUUAAUAGGGAUAGUUGGG